CCGAGUGUAGCUCAGUUGGUAGAGCGAUUGACUGUAGUGUUCUAUACUGUGUCUUAGAAUACUCGGAAAUCAAUUGGUCGCUGGUUCGAUUCCGGCCACUCGGA
rnacentral:tRNA from 2 species